rnacentral:rRNA from 1 species
CCUACGGGAGGCUGCAGUGAGGAAUAUUGGUCAAUGGGCGCAAGCCUGAACCAGCCAUGCCGCGUGCAGGAUGACUGCUCUACGGGUUGUAAACUGCUUUUAUAAAGGCGUAAACUUAAACACGUGUACCUUUCUGAAUGUACUUUACGAAUAAGGAUCGGCUAACUCCGUGCCAGCAGCCGCGGUAAUACGGAGGAUCCGAGCGUUAUCCGGAUUUAUUGGGUUUAAAGGGAGCGUAGGUGGGUUGUUAAGUCAGUUGUGAAAGGUUCGGGCUCAACCGUGAAAUUGCAACUGAUACUGGUAGUCUUGAGUAUAGUUGAGGUAGGAGGAAUUCGUGGUGUAGCGGUGAAAUGCUUAGAGAUCAUGCAGAACACCGAUUGCGAAGGCAGCUUACUAAACUGUAACUGACAUUGAGGCACGAAAGCGUGGGGAGCAAACAGGAUUAGAUACCCGGGUAGUC